CAUACUCUUGGUCCUGCCAAGUUCAUGUUCAAACGCAGCGUGCUGCUGAAUGAACUUUUAUUUCAGCUCUUGCUCAGCAGGAUCAUUCCUCCACCCUCAGGGCCUCUGAGCUGAAUCGAAUAGCUGCAAACCCUGACACUGUCCUGACCUUUCAAAACUGUCAGGCAAGCUGUUCUGGAGAACAAAUCCUUCUUGUUCCCUUGGACCACAAUUCCCACAAGCCUUUGCAGACACAUUCUAGAUUAUAGAGCAUUGGGACUUUGGUACCGUGACAGACAGAAGCAGAGAAUGAACAGCCAUGAUGGGUCAUCAAAAUUCUGAGACUAGAGGCUGCUGUCUACAACUGUGUAACCAUAAGAGGACCUAAAUUAUGACCAAAGCAACUCCCCCAGGAGACAACUCCUUGGCUGACAGCAGUUGCGUGUGAGCUGUUAUGAUGAGGGAAUGACUUAACAGGAAUGCGGUCAGAUUAAACUCUCCAUGCGUGUUUCCUCAUCUGGAAAUAAGCCAUUCUUAGGCCCGGAAAGAGUGGGAGUCUCGGCUCCCUGCCAGACUGGAUCGUUAAGGGGCCAAUCAGAGCGAUUGCUGGAGGACUGCCCGGCACAGGCCUGAGGGUGUUGUUGUAAGACUCUUUAUUCUCAGGCUCCCCUCUCUCCCCUUGGUCUUUGCGUCUGCCCUCCCAGGGAGGAUGCCCAGCCCCUGCUCCCUCGUGCAUAGGCAGGACCCCAGGGUCCCUGUUCCUACACAGAGUUUAUUUCAUCACUUGGCUGAAGCUCCUACUGGCCAUUUCUGCCCGAAGCCAUUCCCCUCUGGGUGUUCUGAUUGGCUGGAGACCCUCAGCCUGGAAAUGGAUCCUUUCUCCCUGUGACCAAACUGUCCCACAAGGCACUUUGGGCUGGGAUAUCUCAAUUGUGCCACCUUUGUGGCCCGAGGAGAACAUUUAACUUCCCUGAGACUCGGUUUCCUCACCUGUAAAAUGGGAAUCCAUUCCACAGGGUUCAUGGGUUGACCUUUCAGAGCUGGCAAUUUGAUUCAAUAAUCCAAUUCACACGUAUUGAGCACCUACUAUGUGUCAGGCACUGAACUAAAACCUGGGG